ensembl:misc_RNA
GAAUGUGCCAGGGUCAAGUCUGUACUGAUUUUCAUGGUGAAUAGAUUACAUGCUCGCAUUCAUGUUCACUUCCGAAGCGCUUAGUGUCUUCCUUUCCUUUUUAACAUAUUAACCUCAAAUACCC